ACUGACUUAUGUUGGCGAACGAAUGGGCUCACUAUUCGUGUGAGAAACAUAAUACCCUCUUUCCCCUGGGACUCAAUCCAAAGCAAGAAGGGCAGACCCUGGCAUUACAAUAUGAAACUAGCAGACUGGUGAUACACUUCCUUAUCAUGCAGAGCAUUGGAAACAAUUUUAGCUGAACUUUUGAUUAAAAAAGAUGAGCAACUGAAAGAUGAAGAAUGGAUCUGGGAUCAUUUAAAGUAGUUUUGGAAAACAUGAAUCUGUCUCUGGCAGAAGAAUGCCAGCAGGUCCAGUUGUCUUGCGAUCGCAAUCACAGAGAAAAUAUACUUUGAAAUGAGUAUUUCCCAGUUUUGGUGCAGCACUGCAGGUGAAUAUCUCUUCUCUUCCUAGUCUGGCUAUUAGGAGUGAUUAUGCCAUUCAGCACUACCUGCUCAUGUGAAACAGGAUUUUCAACCUUCAAUCAACUGAAAAAUAAAAGCAGGAACAAACUGAAUGUUGAGCAUGACCUUAAGAUUCCAUUGGCAACUAUUACACCAAACUUUGAUAAACCUCAAAGAGAAGCAACCUCAGGUUACUCAUUGAGUGAAAUAUUAAAAUAUAGUACUUUGUAAGUGCUGCAUUUAGCACUUAUUGUUUUAAUGUGUACAUUAUAUCAUUGGCAAGAAAUAGUUAGUAAGCCAGAUUUUUUUUGCACUAAAGCACUGGGUCAUGACAGACCUUCAGGGCAUACAAACGGGUCCCACUCCCAAGCCCCAAAAGAUUGAGAACCAGUGAUCUAAGUUAUAGUACUCAGAGAUAAUUUAAGACCUGGAAGGCAGUCUGGCAUAGUCCAUCAAAUGUUCAUUUAUCUUCGGAUGGUGCAUUUGAAGGCAUGAGUUCAGCUUCUUUAGAUUAUCCUAAGAGCAUUUCCUGAGGCUUGUGAUUCAUCAUUUUCCUCUCCUUGAAACUUAGUUACAAAUUAGAACAUAAUGAAAUAUAUUUUCAUUUCUUUGGGUGCCAUUUGUUUUGUGGUACCAGGAAGAAAUAGAAUUAAGCACUGGUUAAACCCCUGGAGGUAAAGAGUCUUACCGAUAGCCUUAUCGUGUCACCAGCUGGAACAACACUCCCCAACAGUCAGAGUUGGGUACAGAUGAUAUUACUAUGUACAACUGGGAUUUAGUGCUGCAAAAUGAAGACUGACAAUCAGCGCAGGAUUGUUACCUACGCAUGCCUGUUUUCAUGGCUAUACUUUAUUCUAUGCUCUAUUACUUUUAUUGUAAUUACAGCAUUUCCCAAAGUUAGCCAAAACUGUUGAUUUAAGAUGAAUUACACUGUGUAAAGGACCUGUAAAAACUCCCUUCUGUUGACAAUUGAAGUUGGAGUUGCAUUGAUGCCUACUGAUACCUUGCCUGUUAAAGUUUUGCAGUGUGAUGGUACUGUAUACAUUAUUUUUCAUUUAUUGGGUAAAUCACGAAAGAGCAUCCUUUCAGAUUACAGAACAUAGAAAAGUUUUGGGAACUCAAGAGUCAUAAGGAAUCAUAACAUUAAUUUAGAAGAACAAAAGCUUUAAGAUAUAAAGAUAUAUGCAACAUAUUGUAUUCUGGCUCCCCCUCCCUUCAUGUUCCGGUCUCUUUUUCUGUGUCAUUUUAGUCUUUUGUUACGAGUUUUUGCUUUUAUAAACAAUAGCAGAUGAUCUAUGUUUACAAGAUUAACAGACUUGCAUAUGCCAUGCUUGGUUCUAGUGGCACAAUACUUUCAGGAAGUGGAGUCUUAGCACAUGCUUUUGACAUCUAAGAUAGUGAGGACCUAUAUACACACCAGACUAAUUUCCGGUAUGUUAUUUUAUGAGGAAACGAUCCUUCCCAACAGCAAAUAAAACUUGCAGUGAAAACAUGAUCAUAAUCAAGAUUAUAAAUGGUCAACCCUUUUGAAACAGUGAAAGUUAACAUGAUGAUGGGAUUUGAAUAACUGCUGAGAAACUAUGAAAGAUUUGCAAAGCUCUGUUGAAGUCAGUUUUUAGUGCUAGUUCUGCGUAACAAUGGCGCAUGAGAGAGUUUUCUUUUGUAGCUAGAACAGUUAUUUAAUUCAAAGUUCCUCCACUUUGUUCAUGAA